rnacentral:siRNA from 1 species
UCUACAACGUUAUCCUCGGCACC